rnacentral:misc_RNA from 1 species
AACUUUUAGCAACGGAUCUCUUGGUUCUGGCAUCGAUGAAGAACGCAGCGAAAUGCGAUAAGUAAUGCGAAUUGCAGAAUUCUGUGAGUCAUCGAAUCUUUGAACGCACAUUGCGCCCGCCAGCAUCCUGGCGGGCAUGCCUGUUCGAGCGUCAUUUCAACCCUCAGGCUCUGCCUGGUAUUGGGGACCUGCGCCUCGCAGCCCCCGAAAGACAGCGGCGGUCCCGUCCCGGCACCGAGCGUAGUAGCACAUCUCGCUAUGGGCGUUCGGGCGGUGGCCUGCCGGAAAACCCCCAAUUUUCGUGGUUGACCUCGGAUCAGGUAGGAAUACCCGCUGAACUUAAGCAUAUCAAUAAGCGGAGGCU